AGUCUUAACCGGGCGUUAAGUUGCAGGGUAUAGACCCGAAACCCGGUGAUCUAGCCAUGGGCAGGUUGAAGGUUGGGUAACACUAACUGGAGGACCGAACCGACUAAUGUUGAAAAAUUAGCGGAUGACCUGUGGCUGGGGGUGAAAGGCCAAUCAAACCGGGAGAUAGCUGGUUCUCCCCGAAAGCUAUUUAGGUAGCGCCUCGUGAACUCAUCUCCGGGGGUAGAGCACUGUUUCGGCUAGGGGGCCAUCCCGGCUUACCAACCCGAUGCAAACUGCGAAUACCGGAGAAUGUUAUCACGGGAGACACACGGCGGGUGCUAACGUCCGUCGUGAAGAGGGAAACAACCCAGACCGCCAGCUAAGGUCCCAAAGUCAUGGUUAAGUGGGAAACGAUGUGGGAAGGCCCAGACAGCCAGGAUGUUGGCUUAGAAGCAGCCAUCAUUUAAAGAAAGCGUAAUAGCUCACUGGUCGAGUCGGCCUGCGCGGAAGAUGUAACGGGGCUAAACCAUGCACCGAAGCUGCGGCAGCGAACGUAUCACUUAAAGCGAUUCAGCGGGUUACGAUUGACGGAGCGAAGCGACGUCAAAGCGUAUACAAAGUCGAGUCGGUUUAAGGAUACGUUCGUUGGGUAGGGGAGCGUUCUGUAAGCCUGUGAAGGUGUGUCGUGAGGCAUGCUGGAGGUAUCAGAAGUGCGAAUGCUGACAUAAGUAACGAUAAAGCGGGUGAAAAGCCCGCUCGCCGGAAGACCAAGGGUUCCUGUCCAACGUUAAUCGGGGCAGGGUGAGUCGACCCCUAAGGCGAGGCCGAAAGGCGUAGUCGAUGGGAAACGGGUUAAUAUUCCCGUACUUGGUGUUACUGCGAAGGGGGGACGGAGAAGGCUAUGUUGGCCGGGCGACGGUUGUCCCGGUUUAAGCGUGUAGGUGUGUGUUCCAGGUAAAUCCGGUUCACUUUAACACUGAGGCGUGACGACGAGGCACUACGGUGCUGAAGCAACAAAUGCCCUGCUUCCAGGAAAAGCCUCUAAGCAUCAGGUAACAUCAAAUCGUACCCCAAACCGACACAGGUGGUCAGGUAGAGAAUACCAAGGCGCUUGAGAGAACUCGGGUGAAGGAACUAGGCAAAAUGGUGCCGUAACUUCGGGAGAAGGCACGCUGACAUGUAGGUGAAGUGAUUUACUCA
rnacentral:rRNA from 1 species